rnacentral:rRNA from 1 species
AGGGUGUAAACGCUGCAGACUUGGUGUUGGAGGCCCUUUGGGGGCAUUCAGUGCCGGAGAGAAGUUGUUAAGUCUGCUACUUGGGGAGUACGUCCGCAAGGAUGAAACUUAAAGGAAUUGGCGGGGGAGCACCGCAACGGGAGGAGCGUGCGGUUUAAUUGGAUUCAACACCGUAAAACUCACCAGGGAAGACUGUUACAUGAAGGCCGAGAUGGAGACUCUGCUAGAUUUUCAGAGAGGAGGUGCAUGGCGUCAGUGACU